rnacentral:lncRNA from 1 species
GGGUGUUCUUUUGAAUGGGACGUCCAGGUUAUGUUUUCAAAUGGUUGAGAGUGAUGUACAGGGUUUGCCCAAGUGAUCGAGAGGCUGUUCAUGAUAAUUGCUUUACUACUUUCUCUACCUUCCAGCUCUUGCCGUAAGUUAAUUCGUAAUAUUAUAUUCUAGAUGGGGAUUGUGACACUCUAGGAUGUAUGUAAUGAUUUGUUGGAGAAUUUGGUAUAUUCGGACCUUCUUUACUAUGCUAAUAGGUUACCAGAGUUUACUUUAUGUGCAGCGUUGGUGCAGGGACUUUUUAGAUGAUUGGCUUACUGUGAAUGAGCUAACCACAUUCGGCAUUGAACAACAUCCCUUUGGCAGCUCGCUGGACACGACCUUCAAAUGAGGCUUUGAAGAUGCUUGUUGAUGCGACAUUGGAUAGGCUAAUAAUGCUGCUGGUUUUGGGGAUAUAUUACAGGAUCGUGGAGGUAAUUUUUUGGCUGCUAGGACGUGGAGAUCUGAUGAGGUAAUUUUUAGUUCUCAUAAAUAUACAUAACUUAAUUUUGACCCUUCCAAAAUUAAUUUCUAGGUUCGACCCUGGCCCUAGGAGGGUGCCGUUGACCUUAGAGUAGUAGUCACUGCUUUAUUUUCCAUCUCCCCACCUCCCUCCCUCUCUUUUCCUCUCGUCUUUCUUUUUUUUCUCUUUUCCUUUUAUGUUUGCUCCGACCUUGAGAUGGGGUUUCUUGCGGAUGUUGGCCUGAGUGGCGGCUCCUCUUGUGAGUGUGUGUCUUCCCAAAUAUCCUCCAGCAGUUGACCACUGCUCUUUUGUUGGUGGGCCUCUCCUUGCCCCCAAUGGUCUCAUGGGUAUCUCCUAUGGUUGCUUUGGAGCUUUCCUCCUUUUUUUUUCUCUUGGGUCUCUUCUUCCAACAAGAUCUUCUCAUGUACCUUGUUGUACUCCAUUAAUGUGUCCCUUCUGAACUUGUUGUCUUUAGUGGUAAAUCUCCAAAUCUUGGGGUUGAAGGUCACUGCAUCUUGUGUUUAGUUUUGGUCUUGCUCUAAUCUUUAUUCAAUUGCAUGGUGAUGUCCGUAUCACUUUUUGGAUCUCAACUCGGCUAUGUCUCCUUCCUUUGAGAUGUUUGGGUUGUCGGUGAUACAGUUUUCUCUGGUUGCAUAGGGCUUGGAGGCCAUCCCUCUUCCUCCCUAUAGUGUGGUAGGUUGUCUUUAUCAUCAAGGUCAAGGCCUGUUUGGCCCUUGUGUUUUUUAUCCACGUCAGGAGACUGGAGACUUAUUAUUACUUUUCAUUUGUAGUUAGGGGUUUGUCGUUAUCCUUAGCCGUGUUAUUUUCGUGGCAGCCAAACACCACCCCCUGAGAUUGAGUCAAACAUCAGCACGUGUAUUAUUAUAAACCCAAAGCUCUGAACCUGGACUAUCGACUUCCUUUUGACGUAAUCUUCAAUCGACACUUGGCUUUUCUUCUAUAUUUUUAUUACUUUAAUUAAUUUAUAUCGUACACAAAUUUUUUUUAUUUUUUUAUUGGUAUUUUAACCAUAUUCUUCAAUGGUAUAUUUUAUAUUGCCUAAACGUCUCUUCAAAGAUAUUAUUGGAAAUAGACUUCCAUUAGUGGACACGAUGUUUAAGGUGUUAAUUAGUAAUUUAGAUUUGAGUUGUGUUGCUGUUAGAUAUUAUUGUUCUCAUACUAUACUUUUAUGUAAUAUGUUAUUUAUACUAUUAGAUCCAUCAAAACUUCAAAAAUAAAAUAAUUUACCUUCUAAAACGUAG